AUGUGACUAUUUGUUGUAAAAUAGAGUAUUAUAGUUGUUUCAAAAAGAAAACAACAGAUUUUUUAAGAAAAUGAUUAAGGUGGGCAUGGCGUUUUUAGGCAUGGCUUUAGGACUCUUUCUCGGUAUGAUAGUAUUUUCAGCAAUGGCAAUGAGGUUCGAAUAUAUGAAUCUAAUCUCGAUGGCUGAACAAACACAAUUUGAUGAUAGUGCUGAAUCGUGACUCAAGCCAAUAGGGAUGUCGGUCAAUAGUUAAAAACAAGGGGAGAAGAAAAGAAGAGGCAGAUUCAAUACUCAAAAGAACAACGUGUGGGAGAGAGAAAAAAGCUAAAAUCAGUUAGAUUAAAAUGAUGCUAAUUUAAAUUCGACUAA